UACGUAGGGUGCAAGCGUUGUCCGGAAUUAUUGGGCGUAAAGAGCUCGUAGGCGGUCUGUCGCGUCGGCUGUGAAAAUCCCCGAGGCUCAACCUCGGGUCUGCAGUCGAUACGGGCAAACUUGAGUGUUGCAGGGGAGACUGGAAUUCCUGGUGUAGCGGUGAAAUGCGCAGAUAUCAGGAGGAACACCGGUGGCGAAGGCGGGUCUCUGGGCAGUAACUGACGCUGAGGAGCGAAAGCGUGGGGAGCGAACAGG
rnacentral:rRNA from 1 species